rnacentral:rRNA from 1 species
GGGGGGGCAAGCGUUGUUCGGAAUUACUGGGCGUAAGGGGCUCGUAGGCGGCCAACUAAGUCAGACGUGAAAUCCCUCGGCUUAACCGGGGAACUGCGUCUGAUACUGGAUGGCUCGAGUUUGGGAGAGGGAUGCGGAAUUCCAGGUGUAGCGGUGAAAUGCGUAGAUAUCUGGAGGAACACCGGUGGCGAAGGCGGCAUCCUGGACCAACACUGACGCUGAGUGAGCGAAAGCCAGGGGAGCAAACGGGAUUAGAUACCCCGGUAGUCCUGGCCCUAAACGAUGAAUGCUUGGUGUGGCGGGUAUCGAUCCCUGCCGUGCCGAAGCUAACGCAUUAAGCAUUCCGCCUGGGGAGUACGGUCGCAAGGCUG